CGGUACAGCUCUUCGGAGGCUGACGAGUGGCGAACGGGUGCGUUAACAUCGGAACGUGCCCGAUCGUGGGGGAUAACGGAGCGAAAGCUUUGCUAAUACCGCAUACGAUCUACGGAUGAAAGCAGGGGACCCUCGGGCCUUGCGCGAACGGAGCGGCCGAUGGCAGAUUAGGUAGUUGGUGGGAUAAAAGCUUACCAAGCCGACGAUCUGUAGCUGGUCUGAGAGGACGACCAGCCACACUGGGACUGAGACACGGCCCAGACUCCUACGGGAGGCAGCAGUGGGGAAUUUUGGACAAUGGGCGAAAGCCUGAUCCAGCAAUGCCGCGUGCAGGAUGAAGGCCUUCGGGUUGUAAACUGCUUUUGUACGGAACGAAAAGUCUCGGGAUAAUACCCUGGGACCAUGACGGUACCGUAAGAAUAAGCACCGGCUAACUACGUGCCAGCAGCCGCGGUAAUACGUAGGGUGCAAGCGUUAAUCGGAAUUACUGGGCGUAAAGCGUGCGCAGGCGGUUAUAUAAGACAGAUGUGAAAUCCCCGGGCUCAACCUGGGAACUGCAUUUGUGACUGUAUAGCUAGAGUACGGUAUAGGGG
rnacentral:rRNA from 1 species